AUCUGGUUUGAGAAAAUGAAGAACCAAGCUAUCUUAUCGUUGCUAAUGACAUUUCUCCUGCUGAUACUACAGAGCGAAGGAAUCUUAAGCUUGGGCGACCGAGUGAAGAGACAGGACGGAGUUACCUGGAUGUUGUAUGACAAUGACCCACCGGAGCCCGCAACACCAGGGCUGAACGCGACAUGAGGUAGAAAUGUAUUGGUUCUGAAAAUAAAGGUAGCAUAACCUUUUCUUCAGUGCUGUAUGGCCCUAUAAAAGUUAUACAAUGGUAUGAACAGAAAAUGCAGGAGUAUAAAAAUUGUGGAAUGAUAAAAGAAGAAAAAUGGAAAAGUGAAUAUCUAACAGGGCAGAAUAUUUAUGAUUUAUAGUGACAACGGAUUUGUUUAUACUGUGUGUGCACAGUAUAACACACACACACACACACAA